rnacentral:lncRNA from 1 species
UUUUCAAUCAGGAUUGCUGAUUCACCGAUCCGGAUCAAUUUUUUGGGUACCCGAUCCGGGUCACCGAUCCUUUUUUUAAACCAUUGGUUUCAUCCGGUCUGCUCAUUUCACUUCCUCACCUUCAUACUCGAUACCCAAUAUCCAAUCCCCUCUCUCUCUCUCUUAAUCAACACGCUUUCUUAACAUCUCCUACCCUUUCAAAUCCAAUACCCGUCCCUCUUCCUUUGUCAACCCAAACAAACUUUCUCUCUGUCUCAACUAAAGUUUUCUCUUUCUUUAUUUUAUUAAAACCAUCCUAUUUACUUCUUUUACCCCUUCCUUUUAUAUUAUCUCAUUUUACUCCCUUUUAUUUCAUUGCAUUUACUUCCCUUGAUUCCAUUCCAUUUCUUUCAAUUUAUUUUGCCUCACUCACUUUACCCUAUCGUACUUUACUCUUACUCCAUUCAUUUAUUUUAUUUUAAUCAUUUCAUCUUAUUUUAUUUUCUUCCAUCCCUUAUAUUUUAUUUUACUUUACUUUAUUUAUUCACUUUAUUUUACUUUAUUUCAUUUUAUUUUAGUUUAAUCCCUUUUCCAUUUUCUAAAUCUAUUUUAUUUUCAUUUUAAUUCAUCUCUCUCAUUUUCUAUCACUCUCAUUUUAUCAUCACUUUUAUUUUACUUUCGUCUCUUUUGGAAGACCUAGCGAGAUUCAAGCUAGUCUUCACCUCCCCUCUUUCUCUUCUUUACUUGUUUGACAAGAGGGCAGAUUGAGUCUUGUGUUGCGUUUCUAGUCUCGUCUUCGAGCAGUAUUGCC